AAACGGCCUGUUCGUGAAGUUAGGCUGCAUAAGUUACGUUGAAGCAUUGGUUAUUUAUACCCUUUGGUUUAGUUCUACGGGCACUUGUGCUCUCCU
rnacentral:lncRNA from 1 species